AUACGCUGUAGCGGGUAUUUUGAGGUGCUUCGCGAUUGAAUCGAUCUUAAGGGGCUCCCAGACAAAAUCGGCCGUUUUCAUGUGCUAUAAAGUAUACGUUAAAGUUACGUUAAAAAUAUCAAAUAAAUAUAUGUUGUAACUCGGAUUCAGCUUAUUAAUGUGACUGUAAGAUAAUUGUAUAAAAUUCUCUAAAUAAAGAGAAAUAAUUGUUU
rnacentral:misc_RNA from 1 species